UCCGAGUUGACCCCGGCAGUCUCCUAUGAGUCCCCACCAUCACGUGCUGGCAACAUAGAACGAGGGUUGCGCUCGUUGCGGGACUUAACCCAACAUCUCACGACACGAGCUGACGACAACCAUGCACCACCUGUACACCAGUCCGAAGGCACCCCCACAUCUCUGCAGGGUUCCGAGGAUGCCAAGACCAGGUAAGGUUCUUCGCGUUGCAUCGAAUUAAACCACAUGCUCCACCGCUUGUGCGGGCCCCCGUCAAUUCCUUUGAGUUUCAGCCUUGCGGCCGUACUCCCCAGGCGGGGUACUUCCUGCGUUAGCGCCGGCACCCAAGGGGUCGCUCCCCCAGGCACCUAGUACCCAUCGUUUACGGCGUGGACUAC
rnacentral:misc_RNA from 1 species